rnacentral:tRNA from 1 species
GCCUUCGUGAUGUAGUGGUCAGCACGCUCGACGCGUAAUCGAGAGGUCCGUGGUUCGAUUCCGGGCGAAGGCU